UAGGGAAUCUUCCACAAUGGACGCAAGUCUGAUGGAGCAACGCCGCGUGAGUGAAGAAGGUUUUCGGAUCGUAAAGCUCUGUUGUUGGUGAAGAAGGAUAGAGGUAGUAACUGGCCUUUAUUUGACGGUAAUCAACCAGAAAGUCACGGCUAACUACGUGCCAGCAGCCGCGGUAAUACGUAGGUGGCAAGCGUUGUCCGGAUUUAUUGGGCGUAAAGCGAGCGCAGGCGGAAGAAUAAGUCUGAUGUGAAAGCCCUCGGCUUAACCGAGGAAUUGCAUCGGAAACUGUUUUCUUGAGUGCAGAAGAGGAGA
rnacentral:rRNA from 1 species